rnacentral:tRNA from 1 species
UGUCUAGGGAUGAGAAUCGAACCCACUGUGUUCCGCUUACCGGGCAGAUGCCAUGUCCACUAGGCUACCCUGGAC